AGGUAGCCGUACCGGAAGGUGCGGCUGGAUCACCUCCUUUCUAAGGAGCACCACGAAAAGCACCCCAACUGGUGGGGUGCGAGCCGUGAGGGGUUCCCGUCUGUAGUGGACGGGGGCCGGGUGCGCAACAGCAAAUGAUUGCCAGACACACUAUUGGGCCCUGAGACAACACUCGGUCCGUCCGUGUGGAGUCCCUCCAUCUUGGUGGUGGGGUGUGGUGUUUGAGUAUUGGAUAGUGGUUGCGAGCAUCUAGAUGAGCGCAUGGUCUUGGUGGCCGGCGUUCAUCGAAAUGUGUAAUUUCUUUUUUAACUCUUGUGUGUAAGUAAGUGUUUAAGGGCGCAUG
rnacentral:misc_RNA from 1 species